rnacentral:rRNA from 1 species
AUGGAGAUUGCCAUGGGGGCUAUUGGCCCUCUCCUCCCGAAGCUCAGUGAGCUGCUCAUGGGAGAGCUCACCAUGGAGAAACAAGUGAGGAAAGGCAUCGAGUCUCUCAUGGUAGAGCUCACAUUGAUGCAUGCUGCCCUGAGUAAGGUGGCAGAAGUUCCCGUGGACCAGCUUCACAAGGGGGUCAAGAUUUGGGCAGGAAAUGUCAAGGAGUUGUCAUACCAAAUGGAGGAAAUUGUUGAUGUUUUCAUGGUGCGCGUGGGGGAUGGUGGCAAACCUGCCAACCCAAAGAACAAAGUCAAGAAGAUACUCAAGAAGGUUAAAAGAUUAUUCAAGAAUGGCAAGGACCUCCAUCAGAUCUCUGAUGCUCUAAAAGAAGCGGUUCAUCAAGCUAAGCUGUUGGCCGAGCUGCGCCAAAGGUAUGAGCAAGGGAUGCGAGAUCCUAGCACUAGUGCUAGUGUUGACCCUCGCAUGAUGGCCCUAUACACAGAUGUGUCUGAACUCGUCGGCAUUGAUGAAACACGAGAUGAGUUGAUAAACAUGUUGAUUGAAGGUGAUGAUUGGUUGAAGCAUCCAUUGAAGACAGUCUCUAUUGUUGGAUUUGGUGGGUUGGGCAAGACAACUCUUGCCAAAUCAGCGUAUGAGAAGAUCAAAGGGCAAUUCGAUUAUGAUGCUUUUAUUUCGGUUUCUCAGAAUCCCAGCAAGAAGAAAGUCUUCAAGAAUAUUCUCUAUGAACUUGACAAGAGCAAGUAUGCACGCAAUCAUAGUGAGGAAUGGGAAGAAAAUCAUCUGGUCGAUGAAAUAAUUGAAUUCCUUAAUGGCAAGAGGUACCUCAUCAUAAUUGAUGACAUAUGGGAUACAGAAGUGUGA